rnacentral:rRNA from 1 species
UAGUACCACAAUGAUGGCGCUGGAACCCGGGGUGCUGUACGAU